rnacentral:lncRNA from 1 species
AGGGGAGGGAGACUGAAAGAAACCACAGAAACCUUGCAGGCACCUGAAGGAAAUCAGCACAAAAGCUCCAAUCAAAGAACUGCUAACCCGUAUGCCAAAGAUAAUAAAACACACACCACCCCACGACUUCCCCCAAGUAUUUGCAUUCUUGGAAGGAACCCAUCACUGGGAUGGAGAAAUUGGGACAAAUGUAAAUCGCAAAUAAGAAAAUUGAAGAUACCAAUCUAAAACAUGCGAUUAGAGUUACCAUCAUUUUGUAGAAUGAAAAAGUAGACGUUUUACAACAGAGGAGUCUUCCAUUCUUCCUCCUCCUCAAAAUCAAAUUCAAAGGCCAUCAUCAUCUGAAAUAAGUUUAGUUGGAAGAAUAUGUAUUAAAAAAAAAAAAAAAAAAACAAAAUAUCAUCAUCGCAAGUGGACUUUAGAACAAAAUCAUCAUAGCUGCAAUAGGUUAAG